rnacentral:tRNA from 1 species
UACAAAAUAAGUUAACAAAACUAAAAGCCUUCAAAGCUUUAAUUAUUCUAU